GGGAGUAACGCGUGAGGAACCUGCCUCAAAGAGGGGGACAACAGUUGGAAACGACUGCUAAUACCGCAUAAGCCCACAGCUCGGCAUCGAGCAGAGGGAAAAGGAGUGAUCCGCUUUGAGAUGGCCUCGCGUCCGAUUAGCUAGUUGGUGAGGUAAUGGCCCACCAAGGCGACGAUCGGUAGCCGGACUGAGAGGUUGAACGGCCACAUUGGGACUGAGACACGGCCCAG
rnacentral:rRNA from 1 species